AAAAAAAUAUGGUGAAUGUUUAUAUUUAAAGGUAUUACAGUAAGGACACAUUGCUGUGAAUCCUUCUCAAAAUAUCCUCCCUUGCUUCAAGCACACUUAUCCUAACCUCAUUCUUGCCACUUUCUGCAGCAGCUCUGGAGUCCUCUUCUCUGAAUGUCUCUGGUUGUACUGUCCUGGUUGCCUGGAUAUCUUGAAUUGAUCCACAACAUUGACCUCUCAAGGUCAGAUUGACUUUAGGGAAGAGCCAGGAGUUGCAGGGCAGCAGAUCCAGUGAUGGGGGUGGAUAGGACACACGUAGUUUUUAUGAACCCUCCUUUCCACUGGAUGGCAGCGGCAGCAGCAUUCAGAGGAUUUUGAUCACAUCUCAUAAUUUCAGUGGGACUUGGCCUGUUAUUUAUGAUUUUUAAAACAGCAGGGAAACCGGGGCUUAAAGGCGAGGUCAAGAGCCCGGAGAAGGCUUAGUUGGAAAUAACCCUACAGAUGACGGUGGGUCUGGUUUGGAAAAUCUCCACUGAUUACCUCGAUAUCACCACUCCCUUCCCCUCCUCCAGAGAACUUUGUCUUUAUUUUGUUCUUAAAUAUGCUGUGGUUUCUCUGAAUAAAUGAGUCACUAAAACGUUACUCUGUGAAACCCCUCCUGGGGAUUAGCCCACCCCGCCAUGACUCAGCUGCGAAGGCCACCCUGCUUCUCUGGCCAUGCCGGGCGCUCCGGGGAAGGUGUUCUUCCGCUGGAAAGGCGGCCUGGGGAGUCUACCUCUGGCCCUCUCCCGAGGGGUGCUCAGAGCUUGCCUAGUCGGAACACAAAGCUAGAGCCGCCCUCUGACUAUUUUGUUAUAUGAAACAACAGAUUUCUUCAUCAUUUAAACCAUUUUGAGUUUAGGUUCCGUCUGCUAAAGCAAAUGGCACCAUCGCGAUUCCAGCUGGAAUAUGCUUGGGAAGGAAGCAGUGACACAAGUGUGUGAAUGUGUGACUUCCUGUCCUGGGUGAGGAAUGCCGAAGGACUUUGAGCCUCUCCACCUUAACGCACUGCAGAGUUCGAAGCAGGUGCGAGGGCACAGGACUGGCUUCCAAGGACGAAGAGGCUUCGGGUGCUCAGACCUGACAACGAGGGCUGUCACUCACAUUUGGGAAUGGCGGAUCGGGCCGGGAUGCCUCCUUCCUCUUCGGCUGGGCUCAUUUCCUGCAGUGCUUUCUUUGCUGCCCUGGGAAAUCGUUCUGGGAUGCCUCCUUUUGCUGAUUUCUGUCUCUUUCAAAUCUCAAACUUCAAGAGUCUCCAGCUGGCACCACGUUUAACUCUGAGAGUCACUCUCUAGUUUGGCACUUUGGGUGAGGGGCACUUGGCCAGGACUGACACACGACACCCGGAACACUUCACACUCACGCCAUGUGCCUGCAACUGCGCCUUCAGAAAUUCUCAGCGACUUCAUUUGCUUUUGGGGCUAAUCCUGCCCGGCACGGAGACCUGAUACUCUUGUGACACCGAGGAGCAAUCGGAAGUAGCAGCUGAUUUACCCAACGGUGAUGGGGAAAUUGAUGACACAACUCUAUUCAGAUACGCAAAAUGCUUCCAUGGUUUUCAAGGAGAGGAAAACAAAGCCUGGGAGACAGGAAGACAGCUGCUGAUGCCGCAUGUCCCUCUGUGUCGGACAUUUAGCUCAUCCGCAGCAUCUUUUUCCUUUUUCUCUCCUAAGGAUGUGGACACGUGUCCUAGCCAUAGAGAGGAACACCUUACAGACGAGCAUGGCCUUCCAGAUUGCCUGCCCUGCCCUGCCCUGCUCUCGCCCCGUCGAGAGUACUGAAGCACCCUGCCUUCUACCUUCUAGCCUGGGCGCACCCGUCCUCAGUCCGAUGCCGGGAAGGAUGCCGGUUCGAUGGCCACCUUCCUCCCUGGACCUAAGUCCUCUGAGGUCAAGCUGUCUCCACCAGUCACUGCAGGACACCUGUGGCCACAUGAGGCCCGGCUCAGGAAGUCUCCCAGGUACCCAACCAAGAAAGGACAAGAGCCUUACCCUGUGGAAAUGUACUUCAACUUUUCCCACACUAUUUACCGGACACUUCAUUAGAGGCUCUCAAGCCUCAGAGAGGACUAGAAGCAUUCUGUAGAGGGUUGUCAUUAUCUUACUUUGCUGCUAAGAGACUGGAGCAAUGACUGGUUAAAACAAUUUGCCAGUGUCCACGCUGUGAGGUGGGAGUACAGCUUGGCGCACUGUCUCUCCUCCUGUCCUGUCACUGUCUCCCACAUGUGUGUUCUGGAAGUGCGCAGCACUGACAAGUCUGCAUCUCGGAGCACCUCUGAGUUUCUCCCCAUCCCCCGGAGAGUACUGCAGCGUCCACGCUGGCUCUUCCCAGGAUGUGUUCCUGCUUUGUCCACAGCAUGCUCAUAAAUAAACAAGUACCUUCGGGAGGGAUGGGAAACUUACCAUGGGGCCAGGAGGACCGUGGGGGCCUGGGGGGCCCGGUGGGCCUAUGAUCUGCGUAUCCAAAAAACAAACAUGGAUUUGGUUACUCCAUUUAGAUAAGGCAGGUCAGCCUGGGUCUUGUGCUCGGCUCUGCUAAGGCCAUUAACAGCCACCGCGAAAGAAAGACUGCAGGAAGUGAUGUUUGGUUUUCUGGGUUUAGAAAUUCCUUCAUGAGAGUCCAAUAGCUUAAAAAACACAGUUGUACGAAUGCCCAAAUGUAUUAAACAUACAUUAAAGGGAAAGAAGCAACUGACUACCAAGAAUGGCUAUAAUGCCACAACCACUGUGAAACUCCAAUAUUUCGCCAUGUGCCGACAGGGGUCUGGAGAAAAGAAAGAAUAUAAGCUCUACUUUUCACAAAACUCUACCCAUAAGUGCUGUGGGAAAACUGCUGACAUUGUUUUCUUCUUGGAAUUCAACAGCCCUUUGGAAAACUGCUUCUGACCCGGGCAGCUGACACGCGGUGUCUCUCAACACGCGGUGUCUCUCACUGGGCAAGGGGACGGGCUGUCUUGGUGCUCACUCUGCCUGCUGCUGGCGCGCUAUGCCAUGGCUGGCCUGGGGAACUGCAACUCUGCCCGCGCGUUCCGGGAGCCGGGGUGUUCGGCCUGGGCACUUACGGAAGGACCUUGAGGGCCUGGCAGUCCGGAGUCUCCCUUUUCUCCUUUCAUCCCAUUGGCACCCUGCGAAUAACAAGCAGGAGGCGGCAGGUCGGCAAAGGCAGCUCCAGUGUGUAAGGGACACUGAGCGUCCUCCCCAGCCGCACCCUUCUCUUCAGGUUUUAUAUGAUGAUGCACAAGAUGUAUAAAAGGACUUAUCUCCUUGUAUUUUAGCUUAAAAUAGCACUUACUAAAAUAUCCAGGAUUAUGGGUCAUAAAAUAGAUAAAAAGCUAGGCUGGACUUGAUUAAACUUACACAGUAUUAAAUAUAUUGGGUUAUAAAUGUUGUAUCUUUUAUGGUGGAAUUCAUUUCAAAUAGCAAAGUUAAACCCUUUAACUUCGUUUUCAUGGACAUUUAUUUAUUUACUUUCUUUAAAAAAGAUGUAGGGCAGGAAAGUUCACUACAUUUUAAAAAAUAGCUUCUAUAUUUCCCCUGCAAAUUCUCAGUAAAACUUGGGGAGGGGGGAAACCAUAAAAGCACUGUCUGAUAGCAUCAUGCACACAAGGAGAACACCUUAGAGAAUAAUUUGUCUUUAAUUGUUCUCUACAGAUAUCCUUUUUUUGAGAUAGUCUCGCUAUGAAGUUCAGGCUGCCCUUGAACUCACUAUGUAGCCCAGGCCGGCCUUAAAUUGCAGUGAUCCUCCUGCCUCAGCCUCCCAAGUGCUGGGAUUACAGGUGUGUGCCACAUCUGGCUUGUUCCUUAUUUUUUGAUUUAUCGUGAUAAAAUAAGCCAAAAAGAAAUGUUACCACCAUAUUAUGCAUACUAAAUCAAAGUGACCAGUUAUAUUUAUCUUACCAUCUUCUAAUGAAAACAAUUUAGGAAAGCAUGAGGGUUUACUUUCUAAUGCUUUUGCCUAUAUACUUUUCCAUUUUAGUUCCCCAGUUGGAGUAAUUAGCCACUAAUACUUCAAAUAGUUCAAAAUAAAAAUACUCUAGGAACCAUUGAUUGAGGUUCAGUUAAUAAUUCUUUUCUGGUUUUUAGGUUGUCUUAAAAAGAACAUACCCUAAGAAGUAUAAACAUACCGGUAAUCCAGGAAGCCCAAUUCCUCCUUUUUCACCUGGCACCCCUGGGUCCCCUGUGUCUCCCUUUGAGCCUUUGAGUCCCUAAAAAUGACAAGAUUUGAAUGUAAGAAGUGCAGCGACCGACAGUUACAUUCAGGGAAAAGAGAAUAUAGACCUGUUUUCUCAACAGGUGAAUUGAAUGCGGAGAUGACUGUGUUCAUGCUUAGGUAGAGCUGUUUCUUAAAAUCUGCACUGAAUCAAUAUUGAUUCCCCACGUAAGGAAGGGAUUUAAAUUCUAUUAAUCCAUUUAAAUAGGAAAAACACGAACGUAGGUUUUGACAUCACUUCUCCUGGUUUCAUGUUUUACUGGCAGCUAAUUCCAACUUAGCAGUCCUGAAAACAGUGUAACGGCUCUAAUUCUAGCAGUACAGUGUACAAUUUGAAUGAGAAUCUAGUGCUAGAACACAGGUCCAAACAGAGUUCUUCCCUACCUGCUUAUUCUAACUACACGCAGACUUCCAGCCAUCAGUUUUCAGUGGUCCAGGCUCCAGACAGGUAAAUCAUCUACACUAAAGCUCAACGAUGCUUAAAAUCACUUCAACUUUUCCACAGCGUUCUUAUUUUUCUAUCUCUGCGAAGCGAGCCGGGCUGUUUUUAUUUUCCUCUUACAGUGAGGAAAUAGACAAAUGUGCAUUUGGAGUGUUAAUUCUGAAUUGCGUAACUUGAGUACUGAAAUUAACUUCUCUGGUAACCACUUUCAUCGUGGGGAUCUCGGUAUGAGCAGCUGGCCUAGCCUUCAGAGAGGCCGCUCAUGCUCAUGCGGCACGGGGCCUGCAGGCAGCACAAGGGACAGGAACACGUAUGUCCCUUGUGAUCCGAGCCUAUCUUGGGAACUAGUUCAGAACCGUGCAGUGGGUGGGUGAGUGGGGUGCUGCCUGAAAAGGUGGAUCCAUCCUCUCGGCUAAUCAGACCCUUGUGAUGGAAACAGGUGACACGCCCAACUCCCAGAAGGGCCCAAAGCUUAUAGAAAGACCCGAUUAUCGUGUAUGUGGGGCUGUGUAGUGAGUACGGCAUUACACGUGUCAGCUUAUUUAUAAUGACAGCAGGAGGGGUCACACAGCCAGAGCUUUAGAUCCUCAUGUGAUCUUGGUGAGAUAGCAAAUCCAUUAUUUUUUAUCAUACAUUCUUUAGUGUGGCACAUGACUUCGAUGUACAACUCUGAUAUUAAAAAUAACACUUCUCAUAAACUUCUUGCCUGAUAGUUUCUCCCAAGGAAUGCAUGUUCACUGGCUGGACCAAGAAUCCCCUCGUAGCCAGGUGUGGUGGCCCAGGCCUCUCCUCCCAGCACUGUGAGAGGGCUGAGGCAGAGACACCAGGGCAAGCCCAGCCCAGGGAACUGAAUGACUUAGCGAGAUCCUAAGUCAAAGUGAAAACCAGGAAAAGGGCUGGGGAUGCAGCUCUGUGUGGAGAGCUCUGAAUUCAAUUCCCAGUGCCAGAAAAAAGAAAAAAAAUAAAGAACCCCUUUGAUAUCUUAUAAUCUCUGUGAUUUUAGCCAUUGCUGGCAUAAAUAAGGGAAUCUCAGAAAACAUUAAACAUCUUUAAAUACUCCUUUGAUUCUGAAUGUUGUCCACGUCCUCCUAGGAAGAGUCUUAAGAGGCAGAAGGCACCCAAACCACAGCCCUUGUCCCACGACAGCCUAGGCUGUGUCUUGGUUCAGGCAGAAUUUCCAACAAGUGCUAAAGGGAACAUGUGCUGGAGAUACAUGCAGCCUGCAAAGCCCAAGACAUGAACCUCUGCCUAGGGGAGCCCCGAGGUAACAUACUCUGUAGGACUCUAAAUGCCCUACUUGCUCUGUCUUUUCUAAGGAUCUAGGCAAUUAGUUAUGACCUCUACUUGGGAAAGAAAACAUUGUCAGAAAUACACAUUAGCAGUACCUUGUUUUUUAGUAAUUCAUCCCCAACUUCAGUCUGGAGUCACCUGUACUCACUGACAUUCUUACUAAGUUGGUAACGAUGGUGCAGGUUUAUUAAAAUGCAGAGGAGUCACUGGUAGAUUGGUGGGAGAUACUGAGAACAAACCAAAGUACCAUGUGGCUUUGUGUUUCUGCAAAUAAAAACUAAAGUCAAACUUGA